rnacentral:lncRNA from 1 species
CUGGGACAGUGGCGGACCUGGAGAGGGGAUGGAAUCUUAGGGGGGCCUUACCCCAUACCCUGCCUUGUACAGCUCUUCCAUCUGGCUGUUCCUGAGUUCUAUCCUUUUGGAAUAAACCAAUGACCUAACUUUUCCCCUGAAAAAAACCUCACACAAAUGGGGCUCUGGUGAUGAAAGUAUGAGGAACCAGGAUGAAGUUACCUGUUUGUUUCCCUCUCUCCAGUCCUCCAGUCUCAUUCCCUGGGAUUACUUCCCAAGAGAAAUGCCGGCUCUGCCCAUGAGCUCUUGUCUAAGACUCCUUCUGGGGAAAUCCAAGGCAACUGGUUUAUCAUGUGCUGGUGUUUAUUCCCUCUCUCCUCUGGCCUUGAAGAAGCUCAGCACGAGACUGGCGUCAACAUCUUUCCAACUCCAGAUGACCCGCAAGUUCACCUUUUGGGAGUAACUUUCCCUCACACUUUGUAUUUGACCCGAUUAGCUUUUUUAUUUUGGCAUUGUUCUACUGUAUUUUAUGUCUCUAUAUAAUCUGCUUGAAAUCAUUUUUGGAAGACAGAGUACACAAAAAUUGACAAACUGUAUGAAGUCAGAAACAUACUGAGUUCCCUCAGGGUCUUUCCUUUCCUUGAGAAACACAGUUUGGUGCAGUGGGAGGAAUGAUGUGGAAAGGGGACCACCAGUCUCUGAAAGUGCUCUCCUCACAGGCGAGGCCUGAGCCAAGUUGCUUAGCUUCCCCAGACAUCAGGCUUGAGGAGGUUUGCUUUCAUCCCCGAAAUUCAUGGAACUUUCUCUUGUCCUGGUUUCCCUGACUGCCCUAAAGUAAGUGUGUAUGAUGAGAGGGGCCCAUUUACCAGACACUUCAUGAGGCUGUGUAUGUAGAGCUAUAUAUGAGCUACACUAUGCCACGUGGAAAUCGUCACACUCGUCGCCCUAAACCCCAGCUUCUCAGAGUGGAUUGUGGAGAAUUUCUUUCAGGACUUGCCAUCACCAUAUUUAUAGCAGUUUCAUUUAUAUGGUGAAAACAAUUUGAUACAACAUACAUACUCCACUCUAGGAAACCAGAAUAAGUGGUUUCUCAAAUGUAAUUUAAAAAUCGUGAAUCACUUCUCAGCCUUUUGGCUAAGAUCAAGUGUAGAAAUUGUGAAAAGAGGUGCACCUGGCUGACUCAGUGGGUGGAACAUGCAACUCUUGAUCUUGGGUUGUGAAUUUGAGCCCCACAUUGGGCAUGGGGAUUACUAAAAUAAAUAAAUGAAGUAAAUAUUAAGAUCAUGUAGGAAUAUGGAAAGGAAUGUAUAUAAUAAAACAAAAGAAAAUAUGAAAUAAAUUGCUGGAUAUUAUAUAAAGUCAAAUCUGGAGGUGCCUGGGUGGCUCAGUCAGGUAAGCGUCUGCCUUCAGCUCAGGUCUUGAUCAUUGGGUCCUGGUAUCGAGUAUUGGGCUCCCUGCCCAGUGAGGAAGCUGCUUCUUCCUCUGCCUCUGGCAGUCUGUUUGUGUUCUCUCUCUUGCUCACUCUCUUUCUUCAAAUAAAUAAAUAAAAUCUUUAAAAAGUUAAAUAUGACUACACACAAUUUUUUUUAAAGAGUUAUUUAUUUGAGAGAGAGAGAGAGAGAAAAAGUUAGGGGUGAGGGGCAGAGGGAGAGAGAGAGAGAAUCUCAAGCAGACUCCAUCCUGAGCAUGGAGACUGACGAGUGCCAGGCUUGAACUCACAACCCUGAGAUCAUGAGCCAAAAUCAAGAGUUGAUGUUCAACCCACUGUGCUGCCCAGGUGCCUCUUGACUGCACAGGAAUUUAAAUGGCUGAGUUUGAAGUAGGGUUGUAAGUAUACUUCGGGGGUGUGACAGGAAAAAAAUGAUUAAUACUAAUAUUAAAUCACUGGUUGCUUUGAACCUUUAGGUUCAAAUCUUUGGAUAGACUGUAACUUAUGCAGGUAUUAGUGCCCAUAAGUGUGUUCAAGCCACAAAUUCUUCAUCCAUGGAUCUCAUAAUUAUUUGAGAAAAUGUCAAGUUAAUUUAUUGCCUCAUGAAAAACUUUGGACAGGUUCUCUUAGGGUUUUCACAGUUUGCAGUCUUAUUUUGGCUUUAACAGGGCUAAGUCUUUUCCAAGAGUUUAUUUUCUUCUGCUGCUUAUUCUCUACUGUAUAAGUCAUAAUUCCGUGUUUGUAGCAAAAUAAUCAUUUCCAUAGUAACCAACUGGGAUGUCUUAAAAAGAGGAUUAUGACUUCAGGAAAGGAAUAAACAACAGGAGCAGACGAAUAAUGAAAAUAAUCAGGACUCUUAUUCUUAAAAAGAAUGAAGAAAUAUUUGGUUGAGAAAGUGUGCCAUAAGUCCUUCAGAAUUAUUUCUAUCUUAAAAACACUACUUCAGGAGCACCUGGGUGGCUCAGUGGGUUAAGACUUCUGCUUUCUGCUCAGGUCAUGAUCCCAGGGUCCUGGGAUGGAGCCCCGCAUCGGAUUCUCUGUUCAGCAGGGAGCCUGCUCCCCCCCACCGCCCUCUGCCUGCCUCUCUGCCUACUUGUGAUCUCUGUCUGUCAAAUAAAUAAAUAAAAUCUUUAAAAAAAAAAAAUCCUUUAAAAAAAAAACAAAAACACUACUUCAGCUUGGUGUUCCAGGAGACAUCCUUUACUCAAAGAGGCAGCUACUCUUGUACCAGAGACCACUGUAUGCAUAGAAGAGAUGAGGGGUGAAGGGAAGCCUAAUAAAUUCUCCAUAACAUUUUACACUUGAUCUUAGCCAGAAGGCCAAGAAGCAAUCUCUCUAUAACAUUUUAAUCAGUUAUUGUUUAUUGAAAAGAAUAUAGGCCCUCUGUAUAGGGCCAGAGCUGAACUACUUUAUUUUUUAAUUUAUUUUUCUAGAAACUCAUGGGGCAGUAGGAUAAAAAGAGUAAACCAUUUGAAUACAUUGUUUAAAUGAAGCAGGGAUUCAUUUGGCCUGUACAUUUCCUAUUAAAAAAAGCAUUCUAGGGGUGUCUGGGUGGGUCAGUAGGUUAAGCAUCUGCCUUCAGCUCAGGUCAUGAUUCUGGGGUCCUGGGAUCAAGCCCCGCAUUAGGCUCCCUGCUCAGUGGGGAGCCUGCUUCUCCCUCUCCCUCUGCCUGUUGCUCCCCCUUGCUUGCACUUUGUCUCUAUCAAAUAAAUAAAUAUAAUAUUUUCAAAUAAAGAGAUAGAUAGCAUUUGAGGGGCACCUGGCUGGCCCAUUUGGUGGAGCAUGAGACUCUUGAUCUCAGGGUUCUGAGUUCGAGCCCCACAUUGGGUGUAGAGAUUGCUUAAAAAUAAAAUCUUAAAAAAAAAAAAAUUAGAAGGGUGCUUGGGUGACUCAGUCAGUUAAGCAUCUGCCUUUGGCUCCGGCCAUGAUUUCAGGGCCCUGGGAUCAAACCCCAUGUUGGGUUCCCUGCUCAGCGAGGAAUCGGCUUCUCCUUCUCUUUCUGCC